GCAAGUCGUGGGGCAGCGCGGGUAGCAAUACCUGGCGGCGACCGGCAAACGGGUGCGGAACACGUACGCAACCUUCCUUUAAGCGGGGAAUAGCCCAGGGAAACUUGGAUUAAUACCCCAUAGAAAUGUUGGGUGGCAUCACUUAACAUUUAAAGCUCCGGCACUUAAAGAUGGGCGUGCGGCUGAUUAGGUAGUUGGCGGGGUAACGGCCCACCAAGCCGACGAUCAGUAACUGGUGUGAGGGCACGACCAGUCACACGGGCACUGAGACACGGGCCCGACUCCUACGGGAGGCAGCAGUAAGGAAUAUUGGUCAAUGGACGCAAGUCUGAACCAGCCAUGCCGCGUGGAGGAUGAAGGCCCUCUGGGUUGUAAACUUCUUUUAUUGGGGAAGAACUCUGGAUUUUCCAAUUCAGUUGACGGUACCCGAUGAAUAAGCACCGGCUAACCCCGUGCCAGCAGCCGCGGUAAUACGGAGGGUGCAAGCGUUAUCCGGAUUCACUGGGUUUAAAGGGUGCGUACGUGGGCAGGUAAGUCACUGGUGAAAUCUCCGGGCUUAACCCGGAAACU
rnacentral:rRNA from 1 species